AUUGAACGCUGGCGGCAUGCUUUACACAUGCAAGUCGGACGAGUGGCGAAAGGGUGAGUACCGCAUCGGAACGUACCCAGUAAUGGGGUAUAACUAUCCGAAAGGACAGCUAAUACCGCCUUUAAUUCCCGAGGCCGAUGUCUGAUUAGCGGGUUGGCGGGGUAAAGGCACACCAAGGCGACGAUCAGUAGCGGGUCUGAGAGGAUGCUCGGCAAAACUGGGACGGGGACAGGGCCCAGAUCCCUACGGGAGGCAGCAGGGGGGAAUUUUGGAAAAGGGGCGAACGCCUGAUCCAGCCAUGCGGGGUGUGUGAAGAAGGCCUUCGGGUUGUAAAGCACUUUCAGCGGGGAGGCGUUACCAACAGAAUAAGCACCGGCUAACUUCGUGCCAGCAGCCGCGGUAUAC
rnacentral:rRNA from 1 species